UUACUGGGCAAGGAGGAAGGCAAGAGAGGAGGUACAUGGGCGGGCAAUCCAACAGUAUGCUAAACUAAGGGAUUACUGUGCAGAGAUACUUAGGGCAAAUCCAGGAUCUAGUCUGACCAUAUUGGUUGAUAGGCCUUCUCUUACGCACUAGCCCCGAUUUAUGAGAAUGUACAUGUGCCUUGAUGCAGUCAAAAAAGGCUUCUUGGCGGGGUGUAGACCUAUUAUUGGCGUGGAUGGAUGUCACUUGAAGGGCGACCAUGGACAGUAGCUGCUAGUUGCUAUUGGCAGAGAUCCAAAUGAUAAUUACUUUCCCAUAGCCGUAGCUGCAGUAGAGGCAGAGACUAAGGACAGCUGGGGGUGGUUCUUGGAGAUGCUGUUAAAUGACAUUGGAGAAUCAAGAAAGUGGGUUUUUAUGAGUGACCAACAAAAGGGGCUGAUGCAAAUCUUUCAAGAGGCAUUGCCAACACUGGAGCAUAGGCUUUGUCUGAGGCAUUUAUAUGCCAACUG